UACGUAGGGGGCAAGCGUUGUCCGGAAUCAUUGGGCGUAAAGAGCGUGUAGGCGGCUUGGUAAGUCCGCUGUGAAAGUCCAGGGCUCAACCCUGGAAUGCCGGUGGAAACUGUCAAGCUUGAGUCCGGAAGAGGCGAGUGGAAUUCCUGGUGUAGCGGUGAAAUGCGCAGAUAUCAGGAGGAACACCAAUGGCGAAAGGCAGCUCGCUGGGACGGUACUGACGCUGAGACGCGAAAGCGUGGGGAGCAAACAGG
rnacentral:rRNA from 1 species